rnacentral:rRNA from 1 species
UACGGAGGAUCCAAGCGUUAUCCGGAAUCAUUGGGUUUAAAGGGUCCGUAGGCGGUUUAAUAAGUCAGUGGUGAAAGCCCAUCGCUCAACGGUGGAACGGCCAUUGAUACUGUUAAACUUGAAUUAUUAGGAAGUAACUAGAAUAUGUAGUGUAGCGGUGAAAUGCUUAGAGAUUACAUGGAAUACCAAUUGCGAAGGCAGGUUACUACUAAUGGAUUGACGCUGAUGGACGAAAGCGUGGGUAG